GCCCCUAUAGUGUUAAUUGGAUAAAACGCUGGCCUCCGGAGCCAGAGAUACCCGUUCGAAUCGGGUUAGGGGUACCA
rnacentral:tRNA from 1 species